rnacentral:sRNA from 1 species
GCCAGGAAUGGUGGAGCAUGCCUGUACUCCCAGCAACAUGGGAGGCUGAGGCAGGAGGAUCAUAGGUUCAAAGUUAGACUCAGCAACUUAGUGAGGCCAUGAGCAACUUAGUGAGAUCCUGACUCAA